CCAAAUCGGGUCCAUCAUUAGCCCUGUUGAUGCUGACAAGCUCUCCAACCUCAAAUCCAUUAUUGCUGCCUUAAGCCAAAUCGGGUACUCACUCUUUUUUCUUUUCCAAUUUUCCGCAUCGCUCAUUUGCAUUCUCACAAUCUGGAAUUUGAACCUCACUUUUUUUAAUCCUCCUUUUAUCUGGAGGGAAGAUGGAGACGUGAAUUUCAAAUUCGAAAGGGGUUUCUCCUCCACCUCGAUGUAGUGAUGGAGUGAUGACCCACUUGUGCUCCUGUUGUGACUUCUCUAUUUUGUUGUUCCAAGUAUGGUGUGCCCAUAUUUCACUGCCACCUUGGUACUUUGUAUUUCAACAUCUUUGCAGUUAAGAAGAUUAUUUUCUUCCUUUUUCACAUCAUCAACCUUCUCAUGCUCAUUUACCU
rnacentral:lncRNA from 1 species